UCCAUCCAUUCAUGGUUUACCCCAU
rnacentral:piRNA from 1 species